AGUUAGCCUGGCUCUUGAGCCGGGCUGAUAGAAACUCCCCCAAUCCCCACUUGUUUCUGUGUUUAGGGUUUGGCAAACUGGUGUUUUCACUCUCAGGGGCUAGCUCCAUUUGUCUGGCCACUUUUCUGACUACAGUGCUGGGUACUGCACCUUUACAACAAGGCUGUGAGGGCUGAGCACUCAGAGGCAGAGGCUGGGGGAUCCCUGAGUUCAAGGCUACCCAGGGCUACGCGUUCCAACUCAUCUUCAGCUCUACUGAAAGCUGACAGCUCAGUCUUGAAAACCCAAAGCUCUGCUCCUGCUAUCAGGAGGAUUCCUGCAUCCAUUUAUUGUAUCCUCCAUUCCAGACUGGACUCCUAAACCAUGCCACGCCCUAUCUGGGCACCAGGGCUAACAAGAUGCAGAACUCUCCGCUCUCUCCAGCACCAUGUCUGCUUGCACGCUGCCAUGCUUCUCCCCAUGGUGAUAAUGGACUGAACCUCUGAAACGGGCCCAAGAGGACAUUCAGUCCCAAGACGUGUUCAUGGGCAAAGCUUGCCAAUGUUGCAAGAAGCGGCUGCUGUAAGCAGGCAGGCUGCAGACCUUUGCACACGGCACUGCCUCUCAUAGGCAGGCAACUUAAGUGCUCACUGCCUAUGGGAAGCUGUGCUGUGCUGUCUGGAGCUGGCUGAGGCAAGGCACGUGAGCUUGAGUGGAGCACGUGCAGGGCCACUGUCAUUAUGGAAAUCCUGACUCUGAAGGCUAAUUCUGCGUCUAAAUGAGUUGAAAUGAGACCCAGAUCGUGGCUCCUAACAGCACAGAACAGAGAGUAGUGGACUAACUGCCAUGUGCAUAUGAUCUGUAGCCUUUACAGUGGCCUUGAAAGUUGCUAAUCCCCAUUACUGAUGAAGAGACUGAAGGUCAUGGGACACAAACUUCAGCUUGGAAGGGCACCUGGUUCCCCAGCAUCCCAGACAACAGUCCCCUGUGUGGCUCCUGGUGUGAUGUGCACUAGGCCCAGAAGGACAUGGAGAGAAUGUGCACAGCCUUGUCCCGGCGCUGGAAAACAGAAGCUAACCUGUAAGCAACUAGAGGAUGUUUUCAGCUCGUGAGGAAGACUUAGCUUUUAAAAAGUAAAAAGCAGGAACAGGACACCAGAGAAGUACCGGCUGCUUCCAGGGCUGGGAGUUGAUUCCUGUUAAUGCCAAGAAACUAGGAUGCCUCCAUUUCCUUGUUCUCCUUACCACUUUAAUAAAGAAAAAGAAUCACGUGUUUGGAAUAUGCCACCACACCUUGCUGGGAGCAGGGAUAACACGCCCAAAGAAAAGGGAUGAGCCGGGUCACUGAUCCUCACAAGGCCUGAAGAAGAGGUGGGACUCAUCACGAGGCCACAAAGAAAUACACAUUUUUUUUCUGGAGGUGGAUUUUCUGUUUGCUGAACAGAGCAGAUGGCUGUGCUUGAGAGGGGAAAGGAAAUUGCUAACCCUGUCCCCUGGCAUAGAAGAAAAAAUUGACGAAGUCACCAGGCUGGGCUCCAGCCCCUCUUCUGCAGCCUCAGCAGAUUUCUCUGCUGACACUCUGCCAUCAG
rnacentral:lncRNA from 1 species